GAGGGAGGGGUUUAUUUUAUAUAAAUUAAAAUAUUUUUAUUGCAUAAAAAAGAAAUACUACCUCU
rnacentral:tRNA from 1 species